CUCACUCUGAAAUAUUACAUUAAAUACAAAGAAAACCAAUAAUGGUUUCUUCUCCCCCUCAACUUCUUCUCCUUGUUUUGCUUCUCUUCACAACAUUCUCGGACAACCUCUUAGUGUCUUCAGUCCACGAACCCGAGAAAGUGAAGCUUAAUCUCUACUACGAAACACUCUGUCCGUACUGUCGGUCGUUCGUCGUCAACGAUCUCGUAAAGAUCUUCGACACUGAUCUCUACACCAUCUCCAAUCUCAGGCUCGUUCCCUUUGGCAAUGCUGAAAUCCAUGGCUCCUCCUCCAUCUCCUGCCAAAAGAAUGCUAUCUAAAUGCGAUAGAAGCUUGUGCCAUUCACGUCUGGCCGGAGCAGAUGGGAUGGAUAAUUUGGUACGCAGAAAAAACAUUUCAGCUUCAUACGGUGCGUCGAGAGUUCGGCCACACUCGAAGAACAGCCCGAGGCUGCCUGGAGAGGCUGCGCUAACAAAAUCGGCGGCCAGAAACUGAUCGACGAUUGCUACGACAGUGGACUCGCCACGCAGCUUAUGGUUGGAUAUGCAAAGGAGACGAACGGACUGCGACCACCGCAUACGUAUGUGCCUUGGGUCACGGUCGACGGCACUCCUCUUUACGACAAUAGGCGCAACUUUGUGAGUGAAGUGUGCAAAGCAUACGAGGGAACCGAAAUCCCACUGCCGAAGAUUUGCAAUUCCUCUACGUCUGCUCUUCACAAUCUCUAUUCGCUUGAAGCCUGUUUCC